AUGCCUGGGCAUGAAGCAAGCAGCGACUCCGCGACUUGCAGGUGCCUAACCCCGAUGGGGCAUUCUCCCUGGCCUGGGAGCCGCUGUCCGGAGCGUCCUGACCGCUGGGCACCACGCGGCCGCCCUCGGGCUUCACUGCUCCUCGCCCUCUCCCUUCCAGGCCGCGCGGGUCGCUCCCUCCCCGGGAUUUCACCCGAGUGCCCACUUCCCGGGGCCUGCUCAGGGACCUUCCCCCGUGAGGGCGCGACAGGGGGCCGGCCAGCGAGACCCAGACGCACAGCAGGGCCUGCUGCAGGGCCACGCGGAGCGCCACGUGGCCAUUGGCGGAGGCCACCUUCAGGAGCACCAUGGGGCAGGCUCCCGCGGGCCCCGACUGGGGCUGCGCUGGCUUCAUCCGACGGCCGCCUCGGAAAAGCCGCGGGGGAAAGAGUGCUGAGCCCGCGGCGGGCCUGGGGAUCGCUGCCCAUGGGGUGGGAGCCACCGCUGAUGGCGCGGACGGCCACAGGGGAAGCUCCGCGAGCCUCUCCCGACGGCCUGCGAAUCUGGCUCAGGGAUGGCGCCCCGGCGUGGGCGCUGGGAGCAGGGGCACUCGCUGGCGGGGUGCGCGGCCCAGGCGCUGCGGCCUCUCCCUCGAGUCCUCACGGAGCUGAGCUGGGGCUGCGGAUCGCGUCCCUUCCAGGCUUUCAGGGGCUCCGAGGCGCUUUCCGUUGGAGGAGGGCGGCGCGAGCCCAGGACAAGGCGGUUGGGGUGCGGGAGCAGAGGCGGCGCGCGUCCGGAGCGCUUGGGGACAGAUGGCUGCUCUUUGGUGUUGCUGCAAGAGGCCCGCUGAGGAGCUGCCGGCCUUCCCGUGGUGGAGCCCAGCUCAGGCGGGGAUGGUGCAGGACCGCGGACACAGAAACAGGGCUGCAGGCCCGCAGGGAUCAAGGCGCUCGCUGCUCACAAUCAGGGUGCGCCGGUGUCUCCCCAGGCCUAGGCUGCUGGCGCUGUGCUAUGGGAAGUGGUACAAGGUCCUGGCUCCAGCCCUCCUGGCCUGCCCUGAGCUGGGCUCUGUCCUGUGGCAGCCGAGGGCCGCUCACUCUGGGAGUGCGCCUCUCCCAAAGCAUGCACAUCUUACUUACCCUGCCUCCGCCUCCAAGCAAACAAGGCACUGCUUCUACCCUAAAUGUCCUCCAGCCCUGUCACCCAGGGGGCCAAGGCCCAACUCCUGGGGACAUGGGAGACCUUUUAAGAAAUCUUCUACUCAGUUCCUGGUUCAUUUUCUGCUGCCUGUCCAGUUUGGCCCACAAAGCCUUACCAUGGGCAGGCCUCAGGGAUGGCUGCAAGGAGCCAGCGAGGGCAUCCCCAGUGGAGCAGGCAGGAGAGAGGGGAGGAGGGAGGGAUGCUGCUGGGACCUCGUCCUCUCCCUCUGCCCUGCUCUAUGGACUCAGGCAGAGCCUGCAGGCAGCUCCCAGGCGCAGCUCAAGGCAAUGCUGUCCCGGGCACUGCAGAGAGAACCAGGACCUGUGUCACUAG
rnacentral:lncRNA from 1 species